rnacentral:rRNA from 1 species
GAUGAACGCUGGCGGCGUGCCUAAUACAUGCAAGUCGAGCGAACGGACGAGAAGCUUGCUUCUCUGAUGUUAGCGGCGGACGGGUGAGUAACACGUGGAUAACCUACCUAUAAGACUGGGAUAACUUCGGGAAACCGGAGCUAAUACCGGAUAAUAUUUUGAACCGCAUGGUUCAAAAGUGAAAGACGGUCUUGCUGUCACUUAUAGAUGGAUCCGCGCUGCAUUAGCUGGUUGGUAAGUUAACGGCUUACCAAGGCAACGAUGCAUAGCCGACGGAGCGGGUGAUCGGCCACACGGGAACUGAGACACGGUCCAGACUCCUGCGGGAGGCAGCAGUAGGGAAUCUUCCGCAAUGGGCGAAAGCCUGACGGAGCAACGCCGCGUGAGUGAUGAAGGUCUUCGGAUCGUAAAACUCUGUUAUUAGGGAAGAACAUAUGUGUAAGUAACUGUGCACAUCUUGACGGUACCUAAUCAGAAAGCCACGGCUAACUACGUG